AGACCCUCUCUACUUACUACAUAACAGUCUACUUCCAUCUAGGUAUUUCGAGAAAAAAAAACGUCAAAGCCCAUUCCACUACAUCAUAAUCAGGAUGCCCAUAAGAUGACCAUGAAGAGAAGGGCCACAUCCCACCUUUCGCGAGGCCAGAGCUAUGAUUCAUCAAGCAUUGGUAGAAUUCUCCGAAGAUAGAUGGCAGGAUUGUUCCAUUGCUUGAGACUUCACCUUUUUACAGAGAAAGAUAGUAGGGUUAGGUUUCUGAGGAUUAUGUGAUGGGCUUCAUUGGUUCAAAGAGGGGGAUUGUGGUUUUGGGUAAAGGAAAGCUCUUGGAGAUUUAGGGUUUUGGGGGGUAGCUACCACCAUGGAUAGAGGAAAACUCUCAAAGUCGAGAGAGAAAGGGAUUGCUCUUCAAUGGGAAUUUAGAGUUGAGAUGAUAAAAAUAUGAUUGAUUAGCAUUGAAUGUGGCAUUGCAAAUGAUUGAUGUAAAUCCUUCAAGCCAAAUAUUUCAGCGAAUUCGAG
rnacentral:lncRNA from 1 species